UGAGUAUGAAGCAUGCCCUUUCCAAGUGGGCUCCGGAUGAGGCUGCCCCACUGCAGCGCCUCUGCUGUACCCCGUUCAGCUGUACUUGAAGUCUUGACACACAGGAACUGUGAGACAGUAUGGUGGUCUCAUGACCAAGGUCCAGCAAGUCAGAACCCUCCUCCAGUCUUCUUGCACCAGCUUGAUUCAGGGACCAGUCAGUAUCCCCAGCUGCAGUGGGGAGGAGGGAAGAUGGACUCUUUCUUCAGGAUGUCAACUAAGAGGAAUGAAUGAUGCUCUGCAAUGAGGUCUGACCUGCUCACCAUGAACUUAUUAAAGAUGAGCCUCAACCCAGGCAGCUGUGCAGGCUUUGGGAAGGCCAGCUGUGUCCCUGUCCAUGAAUGUUACUGGGGAUCGAAAAUGUCAGGUCCAAUUUUCAAGCUGGCAAGAGUCCUGGAAUAGUUGAAAGUAGAUUUCUGAACAAAAGGGUGGUGUGGAGCUGCUACGGGUCAGGUGGACUAAGAUCAGGUCUGUGAGUCCUGGCUCUUCUGGGUGACAGCUCUAUGACCCUCCUAGAUUAAGUCCUAAAACCAUCUAAGCACCAGUUUCCACAUCUAUAAAACUGGGCUGAUAAUAUCCUUCUUACUUACUUCAUAGGGUUGUUGUAAGGAUCAAAUGAAAUAAUAGAUAGAAAGGUGGUUGGGAGAUGGAAAAGGGUGAGAU